rnacentral:rRNA from 1 species
GACGUAGGGCGCGAGCGUUGUCCGGAUUUAUUGGGCGUAAAGAGCUCGUAGGCGGCUUGUUGCGUCGACUGUGAAAACCCGCGGCUUAACCCCGGGCCUGCAGUGGAUACGGGCAGGCUGGAGGCAGGCAGGGGAGAACGGAAUUCCCGGUGUAGCGGUGAAAUGCGCAGAUAUCGGGAGGAACACCAACGGCGAAAGCACUCUGCUGGGCCGACACUGACACUGAGAGACGAAAGCUAGGGGAGCGAAUGGG